rnacentral:rRNA from 1 species
UACGUAGGGUGCAAGCGUUAAUCGGAAUACUGGGCGUAAAGCGUGCGCAGGCGGUUGUGCAAGACCGAUGUGAAAUCCCCGGGCUUAACCUGGGAAUGGCAUUGGUGACUGCACGGCUAGAGUGUGUCAGAGGGGGGUAGAAUUCCACGUGUAGCAGUGAAAUGCGUAGAGAUGUGGAGGAACACCGAUGGCGAAGGCAGCCCCCUGGGUCAAGAUUGACGCUCGAUGCACGAAAGCGUGGGGAGCAAACAGG